UACAUGGGGUGCAAACGUUGCUCGGAAUUAUUGGGCGUAAAGCGCGCGCAGGCGGUUACUCAAGUCGGAUGUGAAAGCCCUCGGCUUAACUGAGGAAGUGCACCCGAAACUGAGUAGCUAGAGUACUAAAGAGGGUCGCGGAAUUCCCGGUGUAGAGGUGAAAUUCGUAGAUAUCGGGAGGAACACCGGUGGCGAAGGCGGCGACCUGGGAAGAUACUGACGCUGAGGUGCGAAAGCGUGGGGAGCAAACAGG
rnacentral:rRNA from 1 species